rnacentral:rRNA from 1 species
AACGAACGCUGGCGGCGUGGAUAAGACAUGCAAGUCGAGCGAGAUUUUUUCCUGUAGCAAUACAGGGAAAAGUCGAGCGGCGAACGGGUGCUUAACACGUGGGCAACCUGCCAAGAAGUGGGGGAUAGCUCGCCGAAAGGCGAAUUAAUACCGCAUGUGAUCAGAGUGGACAUCCAUUCAAAACCAAAGUCGGGGCAACCUGACGCUUCUUGAGGGGCCCGCGGCCUAUCAGCUAGUUGGUGAGGUAACGGCCCACCAAGGCUUAGACGGGUAGCUGGUCUGAGAGGACGACCAGCCACACUGGGACUGAGACACGGCCCAGACACCUACGGGUGGCAGCAGUCGAGAAUUUUUCUCAAUGGGGGAAACCCUGAAGGAGCGACGCCGCGUGGAGGAUGAAGGUCUUCGGAUUGUAAACUCCUGUCAUUGGGGAACAAUGCGCAAAAUAUUAACUGUAUUUGCGUUGAUAGUACCCGAAGAGGAAGAGACGGCUAACUCUGUGCCAGCCGCCGCGGUAAUAC